rnacentral:rRNA from 1 species
GACGAACCGUGCGAACGUUAUUCGGAAUCACUGGGCUUAAAGCGCGUGUAGGCGGUCCGGUAAGUCGGCUGUGAAAGUCCAGGGCUCAACCCUGGGAUGCCGGUCGAUACUGCCGGACUAGAGUCCGGAAGAGGCGAGUGGAAUUCCCGGUGUAGCGGUGGAAUGCGUAGAGAUCGGGAAGAACAUCAGUGGCGAAGGCGGUCUGCUGGGCCGUUGCUGACGCUGAGGCGCGACAGCGUGGGGAGCAAACAGG